rnacentral:lncRNA from 1 species
AGAUUUAACAAAAAGUGACGAACACAAAAAUAGUUUUGUUGGUGACCCACUUGAAUCACAAUUCAACACUUCAAAAUGUAGCGAGCUGUUUUCUACAAAUUCUCCUCUAACCAGGGAUGUACACAUUAUUCCCAGAUUCCGUGUGGUUUUUGAGCUGUUAGUUUAACAGGACGUGCAACCUCAUCUCCCUCCUCUCACCCAAAUGAUUUUAGCAUGAUAUCGAUGAGUUAUGACAAAUAAGUGUUGUGUUCCUUUGUUUAGUGACCCCUACAUUUAAAUGCAUCACUCCAAAAUGUAGCUGACUGUCUUCUGCAGGUUGUCCUCUAAUCAGUGAGGUAAAAUAUAUCUCCCAUUUCCAUGUGUUUUUUUUAGUUCUGUUAGUUUCAACAGCACGUACAACCUGAUUUCCCCCCUAAUCGAUAUCAGUGAUUUAUUGCUACUUGUCAAAACAACAGCGUUUCUGGUGCUUGUGUCCAUGGCGAGGACAAUUUAGUUUCUGAUUGUCUCAAGGUUGGACAGUCAAAAAGAUUUGUGUUUUGCGUUUAGCCAGUGAGUUGCCAUGGAUCUUAUUUUGACUGCACGUUUUUCCGUAUUAAAGAUGAGUUUUGUUCGGGCUCGUUCCAAGGGGACGAGAGUUCUAGAAGCUAGUGGGGAAAAAAUACGUUUUUUUCUUGUUUUUAAUUGUUGACAGCCAGUAGACACCAUGUUUAUAUUGGUGAAGGUGAAGCAUUGUAGUUGAUUAUAAUGUGAAAUAGAAGUUAUUUUCUGUUGGUGGUGAGCAUUCUCUUACGGUGUUACAGUCUUUGAUUUUUCCAUAUAUGUUUUGAUGUUUGGAUUUUUGCACGUCUAGCUCGUUAGCCCGUCUAGCUCGUUAGCCCGUCUAGCUCGUUAGCCCGUCUAGCUCGUUAGCACGUCUAGCUCGUUAGCCCGUCUAGCUCGUUAGCCCGUCUAGCUCGUUAGCACGUCUAGCUCCGUCAGCACGUCUAGCUCGUUAGCACGUAGGACGCACUGAUUGGUGUCACCUCGUUAGUCAGUAUGUGUUACACCUGUGCUGGCUUGUCCAUCUCGUUAGUGGGAAGGUGUUUCACCUGAGCUGGUCCAGGUUCUAUUUAAGAGUGUCUGGCCCAGUGCUCCAGUUGUCUUGAUACAUGUGGAGAGUCAACACCUUUAGUUGCUCCACCUUUUUGGUUUGCUUCCUGUCUUUAAGUUUGGUGUGGGUUUUUCUUUUGUUUUCCUCUUCUUGGGCAGAUUUAGUGGGUCUCAUGGUGGGUGUCUUUUAGGUCCCAGUUGUUGUUACUAGUCAACUUUCAGUGGACACUGAGAGAGCAAAACUGCAACUUUGUUAUAAUACUUUUAUUGCAUCAAAUGGUUGUUUUAUGCAACAGAAUAGAGGGUUCUUAUAACUAUUAUGUCUGUGUUCUACUGAGGAUGGGCCUCUGGGAGAAAACACUGACAGGAGAUUUACAAUGUCUUUUGGGUGAUUAAACCUAAAGAGACUGCAUUCCAGAACAUGAGUUAAUGUUUCUGUUCUAUAUGGUACCAGGGAGAGAUGACCCCAGGGCCAGACCCUGGUCUCUACACAAAGAGUACUGUUUUUACAGCAGAUACUGUCUGCUGAGAAUUAGAAGCAUCUUUCAUACAAAUCUUAAGCUUGUGACCCAUUCUAUUCAUCGGUUGUUUGUCAUGUAGGUUGAAAGGGGUGUAUCUUGGCUUUAAAAUACCUUUGUACUUUUGUAUCGUGGUUCUCAACGAGUCAUCUGGGGGUGAUUCAUCUCUCAACGAAUCAUCUGGGAGUGAUUCGUCGACCAGCCAUCAUUAUCGUAGAGCACUCAAUUGAUUCACCCUAUAUUUGCGUGUUGUAUUGACCUGCUCCCUUAUUAAUAAGUUAGUAAAGAUUUAGUUUAAGUAUAACUCUGACUUGUGUGAUAAGUUUGUCUCCUCAUUUGAUGUUAAAGAAAUUAAUCACCACAUUUGGGGAUGUGAAUCUUCACUUGGUGACCGCUCCUGG